GAAACACUUAGAACACUUAGAACCAAAUAGCCAACACUACCAGUAUCCUAAAGCCAACACUACCAGUAUCACCGAACAAAACACCAGCAGUAUCCUAAAGCCAACAGCCAACACUUAGAACCAACCGUAGCACACUGCUCCUUAUCUCUGCCGAAACAUCUCCUCGCCACUCCUAAUUGAUCUUGGCUCGGAAAUGAUCAAAUAGAAGACCACAUUUAGCAGCAACUCUCUACCAAAAAGGUAUGCCGAUUCUCGGCGGAAGAAAUCAGAAAAUGAAGGAGGGCAGCGGACAAGGAUUAGCAAAGAGAAAAACUAUCGGGCAAGCCAACGGAAAAGAGAGGGAGCUUCGGCUGAGGAAAGAAUAGCUACGAAAAGAGGAAAAAAAGAGGGAAGGAAAAGGAGAGCGGCGGAAAAGAAAAAAAGCAAAAGGAGAGAGUUGAAGUCAGAGAGAGGUAGACUAAGAGAAGAAAGGAAAACAGAGAGGAAACUAUGGCAGAAAUAGAGCAAAAGUAAACCCCAGAAACCCUAGUCGACGGUGAGGUGAAGGAAUCGUCCACUCAAGACAUGAAAAUAGUCGAAGCCCAAGCUGAUGACGCGGCGGUUGGCGGUGCCGGCAGUUUAAAGCGCGUCAGAGAUGAAGCUGACGAGGAGGGAGAGAACAACGAAGAUGUCAAGAAGUUGAAGGCUGAUGAUAAGCACGUAGAAGAGGAGAGAGGCAGUUCAACGGCUUGAUUGAUGUCUACACCAGAGGUCCUCAUUGGAUGCUUGCCUUGGAGAAUUUUGCUUUGGCUAGACCAUGAGAGAUAUAUUGCUCAUUUUGGAGGUUUCGAAGAAGAUUAGCAGUACGGCUUACAUGUCGGCUCAAAAACUGUGGUUAUAGUGCUGUCUUAAGUUUAGAAAAUGUUUCGGAAGCGCAGGAAAUGUUUUGGGACUUGGAAUAUGUUUUUUAGUGCAGUCUUGACUUAUAUGAGUAGUAUUUGUUCUACUCAAACUUAUGAAACUAUUUGUACUAUGAUGUUGCACUUAUUUAUGACAUUUGAAUAUUUAAUAUGUUAUUCUGGCAUAUUCUAUUGUAACGGGUGCCGACGUUUGUUAUUUAUUAAACAUUGCUGAUGUUUUCAUUUUUUAGAUAUUAUUGUAGUAGGAAAGUCAUGUGUAAGGUGUUGUAAAUGAGUAGUAUUUUUCUAGGCAAGAUGUCUUUAU